rnacentral:rRNA from 1 species
AACGAACGCUGGCGGCAUGCCUAACACAUGCAAGUCGAACGAGACCUUCGGGUCUAGUGGCGCACGGGUGCGUAACGCGUGGGAACCCGCCCUUAGGUUCGGAAUAACUCCCCGAAAGGGGUGCUAAUACCGGAUAAUGUCUUCGGACCAAAGAUUUAUCGCCUUUGGAUGGGCCCGCGUUGGAUUAGCUAGUUGGUAGGGUAAAAGCCUACCAAGGCGACGAUCCAUAGCUGGUCUGAGAGGAUGAUCAGCCACACUGGGACUGAGACACGGCCCAGACUCCUACGGGAGGCAGCAGUGGGGAAUAUUGGACAAUGGGCGAAAGCCUGAUCCAGCAAUGCCGCGUGAGUGAUGAAGGCCUUAGGGUUGUAAAGCUCUUUUACCCGGGAUGAUAAUGACAGUACCGGGAGAAUAAGCUCCGGCUAACUCCGU